AAUAGACUGACUCUGUAAACCGCUUAGAGAGGGCUGUCAAGCACUAUGAAACAAUAUAUAAUUCUAAGUGCUAUUGCUAUUUUUCCAUUGCUGAAGCUUUGAAGCAGUGGCUGAAGAUUUCCCAUCGAAGUGAGGAUGGCUGAAGGUGGAGUUUAUCUUAUUGCAGAACAGUUGUUCACUCCUCCAGCUGCUGUCCUGGAACAGUCUUGGUCCUGGUUCUUGAGAUUUGGGGGGAAAUCCAGCCGAUGUUGCAAUGCCAUUGUGAAAUGCACAAGAUACUUGCAUCAUUUUGGAAGAGCAUUGCGCUCUUAGGAGCACUUUCUUUACCAUGUGAUCGGCCACAAAUUAUUGCUCAUGCCUUUGAAGAUGGCCUAAGCUUGCCGUAGGUUUUGUAUUGCAAGAAAUAAAAUCUUAUUUGGGAUUACUUUUUUGGGAAGUUAAAAUAACAUCUCAAUUUUAGGGGCUAUUUGGGUAAAAAGGAUGAUUGGUCAAGUGAAAGACCAUUCAAACUGAUUUUACAUAAUCGAUGCUAAUGACCUAAAUGACAUCCAUUGUCCGGUCUGCUUUGGAAACAAUGGGAGUGACCAUUGCAUUUGAAGUUUGCUGUAUGGAGAUCCAGGGAAGCAACGUUUUACUGUAACUGUUUCCUCCUACCAAGUUUUAGUUUUGUGAGAACAAACAAAGCAUCCUUCCUUGGACAACUACGGAUUGAAAGAGAGCAGUAUCCACCUCUCCAUCCAUAGGAAUGAAGCUGCUUCACGCAAUUAACACAACUUUGAUCAGCCUUGAGGACCACGCCAGGAUCACUGUGGCAUGUCAUUCUCCAAAAAGCCAUUGGAAGAGCGCGCUCAGGAGCAAAAUGGGGGCCUUGAGUUUUGCAAGCCUCGUUUGCUCCUUCAUACCUCCUGCUAAAAAAAAGGUUGACCCCCCAAAAAAACCUUUUCUGCCCCGGAGGAAAUGAGAACCCCAAAAGGAAAUGAGGACUCCCCAAGCUCACCACUGAGGUAUGGGUCUGCUUGCAGCAGCCAUCCAACAGUGUUCCCGGUUCAUUCACCCUUGGAGACGGUAACUUCUCAGGCAGAUCAUUAUCCCAAAGUAUGGGUCAUCACAUUUAAUUAAAAUGCUGACUGGUUACUUAUUUUCUUCCAGAAACUUGUCAUCUGCUGAGAACUCAACCACCCAGCCUAGAAAAGGGGAGGCAUGUUGAGAAUGAGGAAACUGCUUCAUAGAAAAUAAGGCAGGAGAAUUAAAUUACAUGGACCACUUCUCAUGCCAUUGUACUCAUUUUCAGUCGGCGAAGAGUGACAACAUAGCCACAGUGCCUCAUCCCACAAAGAUUGGGAAAAUGGCAUGAGGGAAACCUCAGCCAUUAUCUGUUCAGCACAGCAGAGGAGUCCCUGUGGAUUCCUGGUUUGCCUCAUCAGUGGCUCAGUCAAGCUACGCAAAAUGGUGGUUGGGGGGAAGAUAUUGAACCAAUUGCAGAAGAAACCAAACUAAUCUCAUUCAUUUCAUGUACGUAAUGUUUUGGGCUUUAUCUAAAAUCUCCAAGAUUUAAAAGGACGGAAGCAGGUUGAAAUAUAGAGGGAAUUUCAAAAGUCACAAUCCUAAUGUGCUCUGACAAGGAGCUUCUGCAAAACACAGGCAGAAAUACUUUGUGCAUCUAAACAUUAUGUGGCUAAGGGGUAUAUCAAAUCAUGCAUGGAAAAUGUGAAUUCAGAGAGUGUGCCCCUUACAGGGUUAAAACCCUAAGUACUAGUUAACUGAUAACAAAGCUAUCAAUAUGAUUAGGUCUUUUGUAAAAAUCAGUCAUAUGACCCUGUUCUACCAGCAUAUCCUGGGAAAUAUUGUAAAAACAGAAAAGGGGUAUCUUGGAUGAGCAAAAAAUGGACGCAAUUAUUUUGUGAUAAGAGGUAAUAAUAACACACUUUCUUUAGAAAACAAGUCAAAUCCGGUAAGGGACACUCAUGUGUGACAGAAAUGCAUAAGAUAAUGCAAUGUGGGUAUGUGUGGGGGGAGGGAAUACCAUCAAAACAGUAAGAAAUAUAUGAUACUUUAAAAAGUUUCUCUAGUACAGCACCUAAACAACCUUGAUUGAUCUUGGAAAAGCUAAGUCCUGUUAGUGCAGACUUGUAUUUCUAUGAUAUUUCUAUUGUUAUAGUAUUUCUACACGAGAUCACCAGGAAGGCUCAGAACUAGGUAGAGAAGUUUGGGGGGGAAAUAAUUCCCCAAAUGGAACCAAAAGCCAGUUCUCCACCAUUGUCAAGAAAACUUCACGAGUGACCCCCAAAUUCCUGACCAAGAGUUGAAUUCAACACGAGUCUUCUGAAAAUGAUUAAUACUAUAAGAGUAUAUACUGUACAUUCAGACUCGGCUAUUGCAAACAAACUCAAGAAAAUUUCAACCUUAAAAUAUUGGAAUAUUUGUUAUAGGAUGCUUGAUAUCAAAUUCAAGUCUUCUGAUGCUGGCUGAUCAUCUUUGUUUUAAAAACUAUAAGCUCCUCAGCAGCUGAACCACGUUUCUGUAAUUGCAAACGUAAAAUAAAUCCCCCCCAACAGUUUAAUUACACCAAAAAGCAGAAAAGUACUCAUGCCUCAUUAGAAAACUCAUUAUCAGAAAACAAACCAAUUUCUAUACAAUGGAAGCCAAAUAUAUUUAUAGAGGAAAUGUGUUACCACUUGGAUAAAAUGUUCAUUAACAGCUUGCAGGUCUACCAUUUCUGUAAACAACAAUACGCAUUCGGCUGAGAAAUGAACACAGGAAAUACUAUAUAGAAACUAGAGCAUAAUUCAUGGUGUGGUCUUAGUAAACCAGUAGGAAUUGUGUAAAUAUUUUGCCAAGAGAACCAAAAAAGGUUGGUUUUGUGAAAUAGCUUUGGCUCGUUCUUUAAAGAAAAUAAAAAAAGUUUGCUUAUUAAUUGGAUGAUAGCUUCAAGUAUCUGUUACAUAUUUUUCAUGCUAGGAAAAUCUAAAAUAUUAACAAAGAAAUCCUUAUUAUUUUUUUUUAAUCUGGUCUGUAAUUUCUCACCCCUGGAUAGAAUAUCAGUGUCUUGACUAAAAGAAGUUCAGCCUCAUUGUCCUUCAACCUUUUCUAUAAUAUAUGGGAAGAUACUUCACAGAUCUUAAAAGGGCAACUAAAAGUAACAAAAACACUUUGAAAUACAAUAUACUUUACACAAAGUAAUCUUUCACUUAAAGUAUCAAAUGGUGCCACAAAACAUGCCAAUCACUUCAGAAACAGGUCAAAAGCUGAUUUUGCUUCCUGCUAUUUUUGUAUUAUGCAGUUCAGAAUUAUUCCUUUUACAAAAGGGUUA